AUGUGGAUAGCUCAGUCAGUAGAGCAUGAGACUCUUAAUCUCAGGGUUGGGGGUUUGAGCCCCAUGUUGGAUG